rnacentral:rRNA from 1 species
UACGUAGGGGGCAAGCGUUUGUCCGGAUUUAUUGGGCGUAAAGAGCGUGUAGGCGGCCAGACAGGUCAGCUGUGAAACUCGAGGCUCAACCUCGAGACGUCGGUUGAAACCGUCUGGCUAGAGUCCGGAAGAGGAGAGUGGAAUUCCCCGGUGUAGCGGUGAAAUGCGCAGAGUAUCGGGAAGAACACCCGUGGCGAAGGCGGCUCUCUGGGACGGUACUGACGCUGAGACGCGAAAGCGUGGGGAGCGAACGAGG